AUUGAACGCUGGCGGCAGGCCUAACACAUGCAAGUCGAACGAGCGGCGGACGGGUGAGUAAUGUCUGGGGAUCUGCCCGAUAGAGGGGGAUAACUACCGGAAACGGUCGCUAAUACCGCAUACUAUCGGAUGAACCUAUAUGGGAUUAGCUAGUAGGUGGGGUAAAGGCGCACCUAGGCGACGAUCUGUAGCUGGUCUGAGAGGAUGAUCAUCCACACUGGAACAGAGACACUGCCCAGCCUCCUACGGGAGGCAGCAGGGGGGAAUAUGGCACAAUGGGGGCAAGCCGGAUCCAGCCAUGCCGGGUGUAUGAAGAAGGCCUUCGGGUUGUAAAGUACUUUCAGUGGGGAGGCGUUACCAGCAGAAGAAGCACCGGCUAACUCCGUGCCAGCAGCCGCGGUAAUUC
rnacentral:rRNA from 1 species